UACGGAGGAUCCAAGCGUUAUCCGGAUUUAUUGGGUUUAAAGGGUGCGCAGGCGGAAGAUUAAGUCGGCGGUGAAAUUUUGCAGCUCAACUGUAAAAGUGCCUUCGAAACUGGUUUUCUUGAGUGUGGAUGAAGUAGGCGGAAUUUGUGGUGUAGCGGUGAAAUGCUUAGAUAUCACGAGGAACUCCGAUUGCGCAGGCAGCUUACUAAACUACUACUGACGCUCAGGCACGAAGGCGUGGGGAUCAAACAGGAUUAGAUACCCGGGUAGUCCCU
rnacentral:rRNA from 1 species